rnacentral:misc_RNA from 1 species
CUGGGAGCGUGAGGCCGCGGUGGAGCACGCUCGGACAGGGCGCCACAUGCUGCCGCCCGUCCAGAGUCCUGCAGCUGACAGGGCGCCACCGCAUUGCUCCUCGCGACCCUCUCGGUUACGCUCCCCCAGACUUGUGUUCCAGUGAACAGUGUGUGUGGUGACGCCGCGCCGCGAGUGAUGAGUGUAGUGACAGUGACCAAGCUUUUUAAUGAGUCAGUGUGUCCAGUGCUGUGGUGGCGAAAAUCGAGCGCAUACAUACACACAAGGAAAAAUUUUCGUCUUGCGCAAAUGCAAAAAAUUGUAGUGAAAAGUGGUGUGUAUGUUUCACGCAACGCUCCAGGAGUAUUAAUGGCCCUCGCGCCGCCGCCACGUGCUGUGCCGAACCACGCCUCCCAUGGAUAGAGUGAGACCAUAAGUACAGAGUGCACAGCAGGUGAGAGGAGCGGCGCCGGCGAGCGUGUGGGCCUUUGCGUGGUCUGUCUCCCUCUGCUGCCUGCGUCCUCGCUGACUAAGCCGUGAGUCAGGUCCGUCUUGCUCACAAACGCGCGUAGGCGGGGAGCUGCACGUGCUAGAGGGAACCUGCCCGACCCGCGCCGCACAACGCUGUACCCGGGACCAGGUGUGACCAGCAGGCAGGAUGACCGUCGCUGUGGCCGCGUCAUUUCACGACCUGCCGCUGUCCCUCGCCCUGCUGCUCGGCAUGGAUGACGUCCCAGACGCCCCGAUGCGUCACCCUCCGCCUCCCCCUUAUACUCCCCGGACUACAACGCCCACUACCACCCACGGGCCACAAAUCCUACAUACCCUUACCACCCCCACGCACUCCCCAAGGACGACAGGUGACCCACUCACUCAACAAACUCUACCAAAAACAACGUUCGACACCUUCAUGCCUCACCAUCAAGCCUCGACCUCUUUUGAGAGUUACACUGCGGUCAGCGGCCCUGCAGGUUCCUCCUGGGGAGGAGUGUCCCCUGAGUCUGCUAUCACGCCUUCACUGAGUUUUUAUGGGUCACCUGCCCUCUCCAGCCCUUCCCCUCGUCCGACUCCAACGCCAGAGGGCACAACAUACUCACAUCACACGGAGAGGACUUCACAUAGAGUCAGCGUUACCGUGACCGACUUAACAUCGGUCACCCCACAAAACAUUCAGGCACAGAGUGAUUACACGGGCACCUUCACUGAAUCUGGAUACACCGCGGCGCCAAGUCCAGGCCCGAGCUACACCUCGCUGGCCCAGCUAGUGAGCGAGGACCUACCUGGCUCCUCCGACUGGUCCAGCAUCAGCGGCGCCACUGUGGGUCUGGAAGGAUGGGGAGUGGACCCACUUCCGCCCGCCUGGCCCUCCCCUGUCACUACUGUCACCGCACCCAGUGACCCUGCACCAACGUGGGUGUGGCCCACCCAACCCACGGGGUCUGAAAAUCCCUGGCACCUUCAGCCACCUCCAGUGUGUUCCCCGACCCGCGAAUAUGCUGCACUAAGCCCUGCCAGCAGGGAAGUUUCCCAGGGGUUCUUCCGCGGGAAUGGCGCACCCCAUGGCCGCCGCUCCGCCUCCCGCUCGCCUCUCAGCCCGACAGGCGCUGCGUCAACCCCCUCGCCCCGAGGGGACCUCCCGCCCCGCUCCCCGCUCGCACUACCAGGCUCACCACACGACACGCGCUCAGCAGACCGGCGUCGCUGGAGAAGACGACAGCAGCAGCAACAGCAUCAAAAAUCUCAGCAGAAGGGUGAAGGGAAGGAGGGAGUUUGGUGGGGGUGUGGUAGCGGGUGGCGGCGGUGGUCGGGGCAGCCCCGCCGCUCACACAGUCUGGUCCCCAUGGAGAGUGCGGGAGGAGCGCGGCCGGUGGAGAGUGGAGGCCCCAGCCCCUUGAGAGGCAGUUCCCCCGGUGACCACACCCCACACGCCCCGGAACAACACACGUCACUUGACGAAGGUCAAGACGACGACGAGGACGACGACACAGAGGAGAGUCGAGUCUGCGUCCCGCCAGACCCGCGUGUGUGGGUUUCGGAGGACAUAUCCACGUGGCUCAGAUGGAUAGUGAAGGAGUUCAAUCUGAGAAAGGAGGUGGAUCGGAAGGUGCUGCCAGACACAGGCUGUGAACUUUGUCGUCUGUCACGGCGUCGGCUACAACGGCUAGUGGGGCGUCGUGUGGGGCGGGUCUUGGCGGAGCACCUGGACAUCUGCCUACAGCGGUUCGGCGCCAAACACCCAACGUCACCUGAUCCCAACGCUGACCCCUCCACCACCUUGCCCUCAGACGAGUCUUCCGAGGAGGAGGACGACGAUGAUGACGAUGUGGAUCCCUACGAGCUGCUGGGUCCUCGGUCCUCGCGAUUGGCAGCGCAAGGGUCAGGCCAGAUCCAACUUUGGCAGUUCCUUCUGGAGCUGCUCUCAGACCCCGCCAAUGCCGCCGUCAUCACCUGGGAGGGCACCGCUGGGGAGUUCAAGAUUCUCGAUCCAGACGAGGUGGCACGCCGCUGGGGUGAGAGGAAGUCCAAACCCAACAUGAACUACGACAAGCUUUCCCGCGCCCUUCGGUAUUACUACGACAAGAACAUCAUGACCAAGGUGCACGGCAAGCGCUACGCCUAUAAAUUCGACUUCCGUGGGCUGGAUCAAGUGCGGCAACAGCAGACGGCUGAGGCACAGCGCUAUCCCGCCGACCUGAGCUUCCUCACCGGGUACUCUCAGCUGUUGGGGAGUACCUCUCCCCUUGCUGCGGGGCCCCUGGCACCACCCUCCCCGCAUCCACCACCUCCACUACUCUCUCCACCCCCUUACUGGGCCGCUGUAUCUUCGGCGGCUGCCCUGGCCACCACCUCGCCCCUGGCCACCUCCUCCCCAUUAGCCACCUCGCCCCUGGCCACCUCGCCACCCCUGGGGCUACACGCCGCGCCCCUCACCUCGCCCCUCAGCUCUCCGCAGCCAGACACCCCUACCACUACAACUGCCGCCGCCCAAAGGACGCUGCCCCACUACCCGUACUCAUGAACCCUGCACAGGGAGUGGGACAAGCCUGCCCCCAUCCGCCACAAGCGGGACCUGCUGGAUUACUUGAUGCUGCUGCGUCUACUUACACCCCCAGAGCCUCCCAGAUCCUGGCCUCCAGCUGCAGGCUCCUCUGGCAGGCAAGGGAGUCACCUCGGGGCGUCCUGGGCAACCUCCCAACAACGGUGAGGCCGCGGCACUCCUCGGGGCCUCUGUCCCCUGUUCCCAUCGACUUCGUGGAACCGCGGGGCCGCACCGAGCGAGAUACUCAAAUUAAUCUUUCUCGUCGAUAAGACUCACAAAUGUUCCUGAAAGCCACACCAAGGGUACAGACAGCUGCCACGGCACAGAUAGGCGCAACAAUACAUAAGGCCGUGGCAGCAAACAAACACUAAACACAGGCGUCAGUCAAGUAAUUUACAAAACACCAUGUCCCUUAGUUAAGAAUGCCAGCAGGCGCCAAAACACACAUUCACAUUGGUACCAAACCAUACGUAAAGUGCAGUACAAGGAAAGGUCACAAAAGACUUCCAUAUUCCAUAACCUAUUCAACUUGAUCUCCUCUUCCAACCAAACACUUCCUGUUCUAAAGCUCCACGUGCCAAACAAACCACUCUCCCCUCCUUAUCCUCUUCCCCUCUACGAAAGAUCAGUCAAUAAAAGUGAUAACGGAUUCACAUCCCAUUAUAAUACUCAAAAUCUUAACUCACCACACUUUCGCACCACCCUGACUCUUCACUCUGCAACGCUGUGGACAAGGUUAGGCACCACUUUCUCUAUUAUCGCCUCAGCACCGAGUCCCACACCACCCCAGUGGCACUACUUAUGAGGGCCUACAGAGCCUCGGGGCGUGGCUGAGGCAGAGGAAUCUUUUCAGAUGUUAACGAAAAGUACCUGUGCAACGUCAUGUAGUUUGGUUUGGGGAUCAGUAUUCGUUUUACGAGUGUUGCAAUUGUAUCAUUAAGUUCUAAUACUCCUUCCCCGUAAUAUGUACGAGAAUUCUGUUGUCUUACGUACAAGUCCCCCUUUUGUGUGUGCGUGUAUGUAGUUUCUCUUAAUGUCCUUUUUUGUAUAGUAAAAUGUCUUCAACCUGAGCUUGCACCUGAAUACCAACAGAGUUUUGAGCCAGUAUAGCUGAUCAACUCUUAAAUAAAUGAGUAGUACUAAUUAGGAGGUAGGAAUGUCUACUAGAUGUGUGUGGUGAAGUUUAUAUUAUGCCUCGUAUGUUUUCUUAAUUAAUAACAAUUUCUUUGAAUUAAGAAAUCUUAUACACAUUUGAUCAUAUAAUUGCUCAACUACUUAUAAUCACCAAGGACGGGCCGGUAGUAUCGCAUUAAAGCCACUCACACAUUCUCUUAGAAUUACUGUCAGUCUUCAGGUGCACGCUUCUGUUGAACACACCUUAACAUACAAUGGAUCCAAACAACAUAUACUUCCCAUUAGUUAAGUACAGCGUCCCCUCCCUCGCUUCGCCCCAGCCCAGUCCCACUUUUAAGCAAGUCCUCCACAUAUCAAGCCUAACAUUCCCUCAGCCAGUGCCCAGAUGGCUAGCACAGUGAUCAAGCCGGUUCAUGAUUGGUGCAAUGUUCCUCCAGUCAGGACAGAACAUUCAUUCCUCAUUGUAUUACUACUAGCAUUUAUUUACAUUAAGUGUUGUUAUGCAGUAUUAUUAUAUAGAUGACCUGUAGGUGUUCUGAUUAGGUAUAGUGGCUCGUUGCUGUCAUUAUCGCAGGUGUGUAAGGGUCGCCUGUCUGAUAACGCACCUGACCAUCGCUGACGGUGAGAAGCCUGAGUGAUAGAUAGAAAGAUAGUACGGAAGGAAUGUUUUAAGUAGUUUCGUUAUUAGGGAAAGGAAAGAUAAGUUACGAAAGUGAAAUUUUGUACGUUUCGAAAGACUGUGCUCAUAUCAUAGUUACAAAAAUCAUAAAAAAAAAAUGUCCCAGUGAAUCUAAGAUAAAAAAUAUAUAACACUUUUUGUAGUUUUGUUACGGUAAGAGAAAAUUCGUACUGUGUGUGUGAAAUAUGGUACGUUUUAAUAGUUUGUUUUCAGAUAAUUAUAAAAAUAUAUAGGGAGGAUGCCCGAGUGAUUGAAAGCAAAAAAUCAUUUUUCAGUACCUCGUUUCAUUAUUGAUAAGAAAAAUAACAGUGUGUAAAAUUAUACACCUCUGAAGACAAAAUAAUAUGUAGAAAGUGUCAGUGACAAAAAGAAAGAAAAGAUAAACGCAGGAGAGACGCAUUGUACGCAUCAACUCCUCCAAUUUUCACGAUUACGAUAAGGAAAAAAAGAAGCUCAUUCACAUCCACUGGUAACUAAAUCAAACACUAUGUAGACCGUAUUAAGAUGUUGGUCGAUAACUGUGUCCUAGAAAAAAAUAAAAGAAUCAGCUGACGGUCUACGGUACUCAAUAAGAUUUGCGCACAAAGAUGCAUAAACACGCGCCGCCGUUUCGCCGCAUGUGUCAUGUAAAUAUCAAUUCGCACUGCUUCCCACGCCCAUCUAACCUCCAUCUCUCCUCGGUUCUUCUUGUUGGGACACUUGAAAAACGAUCGCAAGUACACGACACAAAAUUUGAUACUGUCAUUUAGCGUUAAGUUGUCAUGUGUACGCAAUUACUUUGUUUAUAUCGAUUUCCCCAGCUUUGUAUCGCUUCAUUAUAUGUAUUGGGAAAUGCUUCUAGUACUAUAUGAUCUGGAUUUUCAGUCUUCUGAGGGUUAGUUCUCUUUUCAAGUUUUAUAAUGUGAAAGUUUGCCUACACGUAUGUCCUCUAUCAACAAUAAUCUUGUUAUUAAGCUUCUACCCUCGACUGGACUUUAGGACGUAGAGAAUAAGUUUCCAUUUUUGGUUGUCUGUAAGACGAAUAUCCCACCGAUUUAUUAAGUGCUCAUCGUGGUUACUUUUCCACGCCCGUCCUUCAUUUAGUUUGACUUAGUACAUUUUCAAGGACUGGUUAUUGCAAAUCAGUACAAGACUAUCCUUUAUGCCCUUCUCAUCCUCCCAUUCUUCGUCUACUUCUUUUCUUCUUUUUCUUCCACUUCCUCCUCCUUCUGUCUUAUAUUCUUAGGUACAGAUGUUCUACCACGCACCAAGCUGCUAAAUAGAACCGUGAACGCGAUGCCAUAUUAAAGAUAAAUUCAAUCAUUGCACCUGCUUUCCCAAAAAUACACCUUCUCUCUCUCUCUCUCUCUCUCUCUCUCUCUCUCUCUCUCUCUCCCAGUGCGCCCGCAUAACAUUAGGUCUCGCUUAGCUCAUUUCCGACAAUUAAGCGUACAAAUGUUGAUUUUCUGAUUUAGUGAAAAAAAAAUAGAAAAUCACACAAAAAUAACAAAUUGAACUCUAAACUCCUCACAAUGGGCAGACACACACACACACACACACACACACACACACACACACACACACACACACACACACACACACACACACACACACACACACACACACACACACACACACACACACACACACACAGACCAAUCACAAAAUUUCAUUAAUCAUGCGAAACAAAAGACAAUCCCAAGAAUUUUCCAAAAGGGGCAGGACACACCAUUACCUCCAGCCCCCUUCCCCUGUUCCCUUCGCCUCCCUCUGCCCCCUUUCUCUCUCGCUGAUCUCACGCGUCUCCACCACGGGAACGCGAGGCCGACCCAGAGGCUUGUAUUAGUUGUAGAAUAAAUGAUUAAUUUGUACGAAACUGUCACGACCAUUCCUGUUGUUCACCUCUCUCUCUCUCUCUCUCUCUCUCUCUCUCUCUCUCUCUCUCUCUCUCUCUCUCUCUCUCUCUCGACCCAUCUCCACUUUCUUCGUACACCAGAAAAAAAUGGAUCACUGGGUUGUCUGUGCAUGAAUUUUCCUCUUCUCUUUUAUACCAUCGUACUUUUUUUAUUUAUACUUAUAUAUUCCAUUCCCUUUUCAUUUUCUCCUUUACCCUACACUUUUUUUUCUUUCUUGUGACUCUCGUUCGUUUUCCAAAUUCAAGUAAACGAAGGAGAUGGCAUGCUCUCUCUCUCUCUCUCUCUCUCUCUCUCUCUCUCUCUCUCUCUCUCUCUCUCUCUCUCUCUCUCUCUCUCUCUCUCUCUCUCUCUCUCUCUCUCUCUCUCUCUCUCUCUGUACCUAACCUUCCCACAUUUCCGGCUUGUAUUGAGGAGCCUCCCGGCCUACUCACUCAUUCACCUCAAUAAAGUGCUAUCAAAUGUAA